AACGAACGCUGACGGAAGGCUUAACACAUGCAAGUCGAACGCCCUGCAAGGGGAGUGGCAGACGGGUGAGUACCGCGGGGGAAUCUACCUGUUUCUACGGAGCAACUGAGGGAGACUUCAGAUAAUUACGUAUAUGCCCUACGGGGGAAAGAUUUAUCGGAAGUAGAUGAGCACGCGUAAGAUUAGCUAGUUGGUGGGGUAAUGGCCUACAAAGGGGACGAUCUGUAGCGGGUCUGAGAGGAUGAUCAGCAACACUGGGACUGAGAAACGGUCCAGACACCUACGGGAGGAAGGAGUGGGGAUUAUUGGACAAUGGGCGCAAGACUGAUCCAGCCAUGCCGCGUGAGUGAUGAAGGCCUUAGGGUUGUAAAGCUCUUUCAGUGGGGAAGAUAAUGACGGUACCCACAGAAGAAGCCCCGGCUAACUUCGUGCCAGCCGCCGCGGUAAAAC
rnacentral:rRNA from 1 species